rnacentral:rRNA from 1 species
AACGAACGCUGGCGGCAUGCCUAACACAUGCAAGUCGAACGAGACCUUCGGGUCUAGUGGCGCACGGGUGCGUAACGCGUGGGAACCUGCCCUUAGGUUCGGAAUAACUCCCCGAAAGGGGUGCUAAUACCGGAUAAUGUCUUCGGACCAAAGAUUUAUCGACUUUGGAUGGGCCCGCGUUGGAUUAGCUAGUUGGUAGGGUAAAAGCCUACCAAGGCGACGAUCCAUAGCUGGUCUGAGAGGAUGAUCAGCCACACUGGGACUGAGACACGGCCCAGACUCCUACGGGAGGCAGCAGUGGGGAAUAUUGGACAGUGGGCGAAAGCCUGAUCCAGCAAUGCCGCGUGAGUGAUGAAGGCCUUAGGGUUGUAAAGCUCUUUUACCCGGGAUGAUAAUGACAGUACCGGGAGAAUAAGCUCCGGCUAACUCCGUG